GUGAAAGGCCAAUCAAACUUCGUGAUAGCUGGUUCUCUCCGAAAUAUAUUUAGGUAUAGCGUUGUGUCGUAAUAUAAGGGGGUAGAGCACUGAAUGGGCUAGGGCAUACACCAAUGUACCAAACCCUAUCAAACUCCGAAUACCUUAUAUGUAAUCACAGCAGUCAGGCGGCGAGUGAUAAAAUCCGUCGUCAAGAGGGAAACAACCCAGACUACCAGCUAAGGUCCCUAAAUCUUACUUAAGUGGAAAACGAUGUGAAGUUACUUAAACAACCAGGAGGUUGGCUUAGAAGCAGCCAUCCUUUAAAGAAAGCGUAAUAGCUCACUGGUCUAGUGAUUUUGCGCGGAAAAUAUAACGGGGCUAAAGUAAGUACCGAAGCUGUAGACUUGCGCACAACUUAGAUUAUUUAAGUUUAGAAUAUGAGAAACUAAGUUAUAUGUUUAGUUAUAUUUUUACUGAUUUUUAUAGAGUAAAGAUAGAAAUAAAACUUAGUAAAAUCAGUAAAAAUAUUCUUAGACUAAAGUUAAGUAGUUUAAGUUGUGUGCAAGUGGUAGGAGAGCGUUCUAUUUGCGUCGAAGGUAUACCGGUAAGGAGUGCUGGAGCGAAUAGAAGUGAGCAUGCAGGCAUGAGUAGCGAUAAUUAAUGUGAGAAUCAUUAACGCCGUAAACCCAAGGUUUCCUACGCGAUGCUCGUCAUCGUAGGGUUAGUCGGGUCCUAAGUCGAGUCCGAAAGGGGUAGACGAUGGCAAAUUGGUUAAUAUUCCAAUACCAACAUUAGUGUGCGAUGGAAGGACGCUUAGGGCUAAGGGGGCUAGCGGAUGGAAGUGCUAGUCUAAGGUCGUAGGAGGUUAUACAGGCAAAUCCGUAUAACAAUACUCCGAGAACUGAAAGGCUUUUUGAAGUCUUCGGAUGGAUAGAAGAACCCCUGAUGCCGUCGAGCCAAGAAAAGUUUCUAAGUUUAGCUAAUGUUGCCCGUACCGUAAACCGACACAGGUGGGUGGGAUGAGUAUUCUAAGGCGCGUGGAAGAACUCUCUUUAAGGAACUCUGCAAAAUAGCACCGUAUCUUCGGUAUAAGGUGUGGUUCGCUUCGUAUUAGGAUUUACUCCGAAAGCGAAGAAACUUACAACAAAGAGUCCCUCCCGACUGUUUACCAAAAACACAGCACUCUGCUAACUCGUAAGAGGAUGUAUAGGGUGUGACGCCUGCCCGGUGCUCGAAGGUUAAUUGAUGGGGUUAGCAUUAGCGAAGCUCUUGAUCGAAGCCCGAGUAAACGGCGGCCGUAACUAUAACGGUCCUAAGGUAGCGAAAUUCCUUGUCGGUUAAAUACCGACCUGCAUGAAUGGCGUAACGAGAUGGGAGCUGUCUCAAAGAGGGAUCCAGUGAAAUUGUAGUGGAGGUGAAAAUUCCUCCUACCCGCGGCAAGACGGAAAGACCCCGUGGACCUUUACUACAGCUUGACACUGCUAUUUGGAUAAGAAUGUGCAGGAUAGGUGGGAGGCUUUGAGUAUAUGACGCCAGUUGUAUAUGAGCCAUUGUUGAGAUACCACUCUUUCUUAUUUGGGUAGCUAACCAGCUUGAGUUAUCCUCAAGUGGGACAAUGUCUGGUGGGUAGUUUGACUGGGGCGGUCGCCUCCCAAAUAAUAACGGAGGCUUACAAAGGUUGGCUCAGAACGGUUGGAAAUCGUUCGUAGAGUAUAAAGGUAUAAGCCAGCUUAACUGCAAGACAUACAAGUCAAGCAGAGACGAAAGUCGGUCUUAGUGAUCCGGUGGUUCUGUGUGGAAGGGCCAUCGCUCAAAGGAUAAAAGGUACCCCGGGGAUAACAGGCUGAUCUCCCCCAAGAGCUCACAUCGACGGGGAGGUUUGGCACCUCGAUGUCGGCUCAUCGCAUCCUGGGGCUGGAGCAGGUCCCAAGGGUAUGGCUGUUCGCCAUUUAAAGCGGUACGCGAGCUGGGUUCAGAACGUCGUGAGACAGUUCGGUCCCUAUCUGCCGUGGGCGUAAGAAGAUUGAAGAGAUUUGACCCUAGUACGAGAGGACCGGGUUGAACAAACCACUGGUGUAGCUGUUGUUCUGCCAAGAGCAUCGCAGCGUAGCUAAGUUUGGAAAAGAUAAACGCUGAAAGCAUCUAAGCGUGAAGCCAACUCUAAGAUGAAUCUUCUCUAAGCUCUCUAGAAGACUACUAGUUUGAUAGGCUGGGUGUGUAAUGGAUGAAAGUCCUUUAGCUGACCAGUACUAAUAGAGCGUUUGGCUUAUCUUUAAUAAAGCAU
rnacentral:rRNA from 2 species